rnacentral:rRNA from 1 species
GACGAACGCUGGCGGCGUGCUUAACACAUGCGAGUCGAGCGGUAAGGCCCUUCGGGGUACACGAGCGGCGAACGGGUGAGUAACACGUGAGUAAUCUGCCCAUCACUUCGGGAUAACUCCGGGAAACCGGUGCUAAUACCGAAUAUGACCACUUCAGGCAUCUGAUGGUGGUGGAAAGUUCCGGCGGUGAUGGAUGAGCUCGCGGCCUAUCAGCUUGUUGGUGGGGUAGUGGCCUACCAAGGCUUCGACGGGUAGCCGGCCUGAGAGGGUGACCGGCCACACUGGGACUGAGACACGGCCCAGACUCCUACGGGAGGCAGCAGUGGGGAAUAUUGGACAAUGGGCGAAAGCCUGAUCCAGCAACGCCGCGUGAGGGAUGACGGCCUUCGGGUUGUAAACCUCUUUCAGCAGGGACGAAGCGCAAGUGACGGUACCUGCAGAAGAAGCACCGGCCAACUACGUG